AAGAACGCGAUGAUAGGAACUAGUAGCGUAAAAUUCUUUUCUAAGAGAGUCAGUGGCCGGUGAAAACUGAUAAAAGAGUUACGUGAAUCCAUCCUUGAGUGUCCAACUGAACAUUAAGUAAGUUGGAACGGCCCUCACCGUUAUGAGAUAAGCCGGAAGAUCGGUAUGUCGAUCUUCAAUCUGGGUGGUAUCGCGGGAAGCAUAAAACUAAAGCUCUCGUCCCUUUU
rnacentral:ncRNA from 1 species